GGGCAAUUACCCAAGUCUGGCUGAAGGGAACGGUCUUGAAAACCGUCAGGAGGUAAAACUCGCGGGGGUUCGAAUCCCUCAUUGCCCG
rnacentral:tRNA from 1 species